ACAAGUGGUAUUUUAAUUAAAAGCAAGCCGAAAUCUACCAGAAAAAAUAGUUUCGUUCAGAAAGGGCAAGGUGGUGAAACUCUGUAGGUUUACCAGUUAUUUACUCACUGUUAGAAGAAGUGAGCUUCCACCAAGUUUUUUGGGACGUCAGACAUGAACAUUAUCCCAAGAAGAUUGUGAAAAGAACCGUCUGGGAUGAAAUCUGCAAGGAGCUGAAGACUGAGCAUCCCGGACUGGCCCCUCGGCUCACCACAGAUUCUGUUAUGGGCAAGUUUGCAUACCUAAGGGGAAACUACCAGAAGCUGUUGAGGAAAGUAGAAAAGAAACUGAGUGGCUCAGCAUGGCGUAAGACUCCAAAAUGGGAGUAUUUUAAGGCUCUGUCUUUCUUCCAUCCUGUCUACAGCAGCUCCAGAAAUGAGUCCAGUUUCACUAAUGAGGAUUUGAUGUUUGAGGGAUCGUUUGAAGAAGCAGAUUUGCCUGUUGCACCAACUCUGCCAGCAACCACUACUGUAUUGUCAACCACUGAAACACCUUCUCUCUCCAUUGCACUAUCACUCUCCAGCCCUCUCUCCAUCUUCAUCUUUUGUGCCAUCACCUUCAAUCUUAUCUUCAGCCAUUCCAUCUGUACCCGUGUCCUCUCCAUCUUCUACCUCUGCAAUUGUUCAACCUGUACCAAUCUCAUCACCAAUUAAGAAAAAGAAGAUAAACCAGGAUGAAUUGUAUUCCGCAAUAGCUCAGUCAUUGGCUACUGUCAACGAUUUAUUGGUAGACAGGCAAGAACAACAAGAGUAUAAAAAUCAGGAACAUGCUUUUGCUGCCAAUAUUGUUGAUUAGGCAGUAUUCUAGACUCCUAUCAACACAUAAGGAGAAAAUUUAUCAGAGAAUUGCUUAACAUCACACAUAAAGCAUAUAGUCAAUAUAACAGUGAACAAGGUAAAUAAAAAGGAAAUGUC